ACGCUGGCGGCGUGCUAAUACAUGCAAGUCGAACGAACUCUGGUAUUGAUUGGUGCUUGCAUCAUGAUUUACAUUUGAGUGAGUGGCGAACUGGUGAGUAACACGUGGGAAACCUGCCCAGAAGCGGGGGAUAACACCUGGAAACAGAUGCUAAUACCGCAUAACAACUUGGACCGCAUGGUCCGAGCUUGAAAGAUGGCUUCGGCUAUCACUUUUGGAUGGUCCCGCGGCGUAUUAGCUAGAUGGUGGGGUAACGGCUCACCAUGGCAAUGAUACGUAGCCGACCUGAGAGGGUAAUCGGCCACAUUGGGACUGAGACACGGCCCAAACUCCUACGGGAGGCAGCAGUAGGGAAUCUUCCACAAUGGACGAAAGUCUGAUGGAGCAACGCCGCGUGAGUGAAGAAGGGUUUCGGCUCGUAAAACUCUGUUGUUAAAGAAGAACAUAUUUGAGAGUAACUGUUCAGGUAUUGACGGUAUUUAACCAGAAAGCCACGGCUAACUACGUGCCAGCAGCCGCGGUAAUACGUAGGUGGCAAGCGUUGUCCGGAUUUAUUGGGCGUAAAGCGAGCGCAGGCGGUUUUUUAAGUCUGAUGUGAAAGCCUUCGGCUCAACCGAAGAAGUGCAUCGGAAACUGGGAAACUUGAGUGCAGAAGAGGACAGUGGAACUCCAUGUGUAGCGGUGAAAUGCGUAGAUAUAUGGAAGAACACCAGUGGCGAAGGCGGCUGUCUGGUCUGUAACUGACGCUGAGGCUCGAAAGUAUGGGUAGCAAACAGGAUUAGAUACCCUGGUAGUCCAUACCGUAAACGAUGAAUGCUAAGUGUUGGAGGGUUUCCGCCCUUCAGUGCUGCAGCUAACGCAUUAAGCAUCCGCCUGG
rnacentral:rRNA from 2 species